rnacentral:rRNA from 1 species
UACGAAGGGGGCUAGCGCUGUUCGGAAUUACUGGGCGUAAAGGGCGCGUAGGCGGUGUGUCAAGUCAGGCGUGAAAGCCCCGGGCUCAACCUGGGAACAGCGCUUGAGACUGGCACGCUCGACUUCGGGAGAGGAUGGUGGAAUUCCCAGUGUAGAGGUGAAAUUCGUAGAUAUUGGGAAGAACACCGAUGGCGAAGGCAGCCAUCUGGACCGACACUGACGCUGAGGCGCGAAAGCGUGGGGAGCAAACAGG